GUCAUCACUCGCUCACGGCGCAGAGCUUAGCUAAUCGGUGAGCAUUGAUCCCUUAAGAAAACUGUUCACAGUGGCUAAGUUCAGUGUCUGGAGUGAACGGGAUGAC
ensembl:miRNA dre-mir-27e microRNA 27e